rnacentral:misc_RNA from 1 species
AACGCACAUUGCGCCCUCUGGUAUUCCGGAGGGCAUGCCUGUUCGAGCGUCAUUACAACCCUCAAGCUCUGCUUGGUAUUGGGCGUCACCAGUUCUGGUGUGCUCUAAAAUCAGUGGCGGUGCCGUCUGGCUCUAAGCGUAGUACAUCUCUCGCUAUGGAUGCCUGGUGGAUGCUUGCCAGCAACCCCUAAUUUUUUAAGGUUGACCUCGGAUCAGGUAGGGAUACCCGCUGAACUUAA